ensembl:lncRNA
AAAAAUGUUUAGUUUACGCUUAAUUAUCAAAUUAUUUUAUUUUAGUUUAUUUCAUUUUAUUUUCAAUUAACAAAAUUGUUUUUAAUAGUUUUAGUUUUAGUUAACAAUAAUAAUCCUGAAUGUCAUGUAAAAUAGUUAAACAAUAUGGAAAUAUGAUAUGAAAGGUAUGGUGGGGACGUUUUUCAGUGAAUAAUAACUUUUAGCUUCAGAAAUGUUGAAAUACAGAACACGGUUCUUAUGGACUACUUUUUUUGUGCAUUCAUUGUUUUUUUUGGGAGCUUGACAGGCCAUACUCACUAUAUGUUACACAGCCAAAUUCAAAAUGUGAUUUGCCUUCUACAGAAAUCAGUCAGUUGUGCAAUUUUGGGACAAAAAGAGAGAAUAAUCCGCUGAAUGGUAGAAAAAAGGCAGUUGUCCUGAUGUAUUUAAGCCACAUUAGGUUAGGGAAGAAACAUUCUCAGUUUAGCAUUAUGAGGGACAUUUAUUAGAAUACAGAACAGGAUAGAAGCAGAAUUAAUCAGAACAAUAUUUUUCUCAAAGGUACCCUGUUCAGUAAAUGCUACAAUAACUCAUUCUGAAGAUGGAGAGGAAAGAGGAGUGUUUGUGAGGCGCAUGUGAACUGGGACCGUGGCGCUAAUAUUCAACCCAGCUAGAUCAGGCCACAAGGUCUGCAUGUGCAAAGAGCUUCUGUUAGUAUUUCUGACUUUAAUCUUUGCUCUGUUUCAGCACCCCUGCAGUGUUUCUCCUGUGCAUUUCGCUUCCCCUCAUAACCUAACGGCCUUCUGCUGUGGUACAGGAACUGUCUCCAGGAUGCACUGCUCCCAGAAUUCUCCAUGUCAAAUGUGGUCACUUUUGAUGUCAAGUCUGAAGGUUGUAAGAUGUCCAGAGAUGUCAAGAUCUGGCGAUCUGGUCACUGAGGUUAUUCUAACCCUCACCUGCUUCCCAGCAGACCUCCUUGGAGUUAUCAUGUGAGGGUUCUCCUUAUCUCUCCAGGUCUGAUGAUGAAUGUACAGAUGGAUGUCUUUGGGACCUUAACCUUUGGGUUCUUUUAUACCACAGGGUUGGUGUCUCUGGACUGGAAGUGUUAUCAGACUGUGGAUUUGAACUCUUUUUCUCAGAACAUUGAACUUUAGACCUAGUGUGCAUGUGUUGGGGUCAGGCAGGGGGAGGAAAGCUGGAAGCUUGCAGUCAAACCCUGUCUGUCUAGGAGUUAAUCCUACUCUCUUUAACCCCAUCAGCAAAACCCCAAUUACCAUCUCCUUCACCAGAGCAGAACAACUAACCACCAGAAAAUGGUUCUGUAUAUCACAAGUUCUGUAUAUCCCCCACCUCUUCAUAUCACACAUUUUACCCAGUUUAACUCAGAUUUCAGAAUUCGCUUAGAAAUUACCACAGAAAUAUGGUGAUUUUUUUUUCCCAUUUUUGUCAAAAUAUUUAAAUGUAAAUAUUACAUUUUCAAAUAUUAAUUUAAAUGCCAAUAUUAUGAAUUCUUUAUGCUUUAGUUUUUCGUUGUCUGUGCAUUCAUGUCAUUUUGUACAGAUGUAAGAAUAAAAUACAAUAACAUGACUGCUCAAAAUUUUUUGGGUAGGAUUUCUUUUUUUGUUGUUUUUUGAAAAAAAAAAAAUAAUACUUUUAUUCAGCAAGGACAAUUUAACCAAAAGUGACAUUUAUAAUGUCACAAAAGAUUUCAAAUAAAUGCUUUCAAACUUUUUAUCCUCAGUAAAUCCUGAAAAAAAACCUGUUUAAUAUUGUCAAUUUGUAAUAAUAUUUCACAAUAUUACUGUUUUUACUGUAUAUUUGUUACAAAUAAAUGCAGUCCUGGUGAUCAUAAAAGCUUCUUUCAAAAAUUUAAACUAUUAAACCCAAACUUUUCAAGUGUAUAACAAUAGUAUAUAAUAUACCGUUUUAUAGGAUCAUUUACAUCAUAUUCUUUAUAUUUUUCUUUUUCAAGAAACAUUUUUAUGAAAAUAGCACAUUUUAAUGAAAAUUGUUUAAUUAGCAUUGCAUUGGCCAUUUUUCAUCUCAUCUUCAUUAUUAUUCAUUAUCCUAAAACUGCUUGUUAAUGAUUUGUCAAGACAUUUAACACUGGUUUGGACCAACCUGUAUAUCUUGACAUGUAACGUUGUCUCCCGUUACAUUAGCAUGACCAAUAGAGGUGCAGAUAAAACACUGUGCUUCUGAACAGUUCCCAAGUGAGUGUCCAAGUGAUAUCAGGCCACAGGACUGGUGCUGACAAUUCCUGCAAUCACUAUAUUUGUAGACAGUUAGUGUCUCAAGAUGCCGUCAGGCCGAGGCGAUAAGAGAUGAGCUGACCGGCUGCAUCUCUCUAUGUGUGCGAGAUACACAGGGUCACAUGUAGCCCACAGACACCCCAGCAGAUGAUAGCGGCACAGGAUCAGAGACGGCAAACCGGUGGAAGGAUGCUCUAACGGCCUGGGUCUCGCAGAUUACAGGAGGAAAUGGCCCCCAGGAGCUGUGGAGGCUCCUUGGCUCUCCUCCCCGCCUGUCAAUGCCCUCCGCAAAUGAUGGACUUUUUCCUCAAUAUUACAGUGCAUUUCUUAUCCUGAAAGGUAAUGAAAUCAGGCCUGACAGCACACAGUGACAUUCUGCAGUGCCGUGGCAUUAUUGGCUAAUAAACUCCCUCUUUUCUCUCUAGUCAUGAGUCAGACAGGAAAUACAUUACGCCAUGCUAAUUUUAUGAAAAGCACCACCAUAAAGUUCGAGCUUGCUGAAUGGCCCGAAGGUAGAGAAAUGACAACACUAAAAAGGCUUCACCAGCACACAACCAGCGUAUUAAUAGCGAAAUACGGGAAUAGGUCAUGACGGUUUGGUUAACCCAUUUACUCACAAUUCCAUUUCCUUUAAGUUAAACUCUCCUUUUUCCGAAACUCUGUCAUAUAAGAUGGAUUUUGCACUUACGUGGUUAAUUGAUUUGGCUUCUGAGUGGAUACAUAUUGUGCGAAAGUGCGCACUGAUUUCCGAAACAUUCUUAAAGGGAUAGUCCACCCAGUUGUCAUCCUUUGCUCACAUCAUUCCAAACCCAUAUGACUUUCUCUCUUGUGCUGAACAUAAAAGAAGAUGUUUUAAAAAAUGCUGGUAAACCAGAGGGUUUCAGUUCCCAUUGAUUUCCAUAUGAAAAAAAAUAUAUAUAUAAUAAUCAAAAAAACAAUGGAAGUCAAUGAGAACUGAAACUCUUUGGUAACCUACCAAUUUUCUUUUAUGUUUCAAGGAUAAAAAGAAAAUCAUGCAAGUUCGGAAGAACAUGAUGGUAAGCAAAUUACAACAGAAUUUUAAUUCUUGAGUGGACUAUUCCUUUAAUGUAAUGUGAGCUAUAAGCGAACGCUACGAAACGGGAACUUCUCUCUCACACUCCUGCUUUGUGUUAUCAGUAUGUUUUUGGGAUUGUGGGUGGGGGCGCUCAGGCCUGGUUUGGAGACGCCGUCGGCCCACUCCCCCUCAAAUGGAGCCAGGCUUGGCUGAUAAGCCGUGUCCCAGGCCUAGCAGGGAGCCAGGCCUAUCUGAGCCCCCUGAGUGACUGGGUGACACACUCUUCCUUGGUCCAGACUGAUAGACAGGCUAAAGGUACUGAACAGUGAGGAAGAGGAAGGAGGGGAUAAGGAUGGAGCCAUCAUCAAUACCGCUGGAAAUAAUCUGCAGUUUUCCCAAUCUCUAUGAACUUCUGGAUUUGAUUAGUCGUGCAGGAUGGCAAAUGGUCAGUCAUGGGUUGAAAAUUAAAGAGGUUUAUUGUCAUCAUUUAUUUACCCCAAUAUCAUUCCGAACUUAUGGGAUUCUUUCCUGGAACACAAAAGGGUCCAACAUUGGACUUUUUUAUGGUAAUUUUUUUUUUUUUAUUGAUCCACAGAAGAAAGUCAGUCAAAGUGGUUUGGACUGACUUGUGACAUUUUUCAUUUUUAGGUCAAAUACCUGUGCAACCAUCAUAAAGGAAACAUGCUUUUUAAUAAGUUGCUUUAUUUUGUUUUUAUAAAUACAUUUUAGUACAUCAACAGUACAUUUUUCAAAAAUAUGGUGAAAUUGAAAUAUUACAAUAAUAGCAUUUUCAGCAUCAUUAGUCCAGUCUUCAGUGUCACAUCCUUCAGAAAUCAUUCUAAUAUUCUGAUUUUGAAUGUUGAAAACAGUUGUGCUGUUUAAUAUUUUUGUGGAAACAGUGAUGCAUUUUUCAGUGUUCUUUGAUCAAUAUAAAUUUCAAAAGAAAAGCGUGUAUUUAAAAUAAAAAUCUUUUGUAACAUGAAAUGGGUUUUUUUUUUUUUUUUUUUUUACUGUCAUUUGAUCAAUUUAAUACAUCCCUGCUGAAUUUCUUUUAAAAAAAUCUUACUGACCUCAAAGUUUUGAACAUUAUUGUACAUUUAUUUACUGUUUUUAUAGUAUCACACAACUACUAUAUAUAUAUAUAUAUAUAUAUAUAUAUAUAUACAUACACACAAAUGUACAACAGAUUAGUCU